rnacentral:rRNA from 1 species
AUGGACGAAGAAUCUGCAUUCGGGAGGGACGAGAAUGGUACUGAUAAGGUGACUAAGACCAAUAACGAUAACUUGAACGAAGAUGAUGACAGCAGCGACAACGAUUCCGUCUCGUCAUAUGAUAUCUUACCUCCGGAGGAUUUUGAUAAUAAUGAACAUGGCGCAAAUAGCGAAAACGAAGAUGUGGAUGUUGACAAUGUGCAACAUAGUUGGCAGGAAUCAUUUGCAGAUAACUUGAGCCAGGAGGAGUCAGAUGGUCCGAGCGUUGAUCACGAUGAGGGAGAGAUCGAUAUUGAGGAGGCUCAAAGGCAGCAGAAGAUGCUUGAGACACAUUGGAAGGUUAUGGCUAUGACCUUUCGGUCGCAAGGGGAUGCAUACAUAUUCUACAACAAUCACGCCAGAGAACACGGGUUUAGCAUAAGGAAACAGAAGGUGAAACGAGGUGCUUCGGGAAUGAUCCGGUACCGGCGGUUUCUUUGCUCCAGGGCUGGGAGAAGGCAGAGCAAGUUCAUAACCAUGGAGGGCCGCAAGCACAGGCUUAGACCGGAGACUCGUUGUGACUGCGGUGCACAUAUGGUGGUGAAGCUGGACAGAGAACGUGGCGUUUGGUUCGUUGCAUCAUUCGUGGAUGAUCACAACCACGCGAUGACUCGGCCCGACGAGGUUUGUUUUUUAUGGUCACACAGACGGAUUGGAGAUGGGCAGAGGGCCGAGAUAUUGGCCAUGGAAGCGGCCGGGAUAAGAAAGCAUAUUAUAAUGGACAACUUCAUCAGCAGAUACGGUUCGUACGAUAAGUGCGGGCUUAUCCGGAGGGACAUUUACAAUCUUUGUUGCAGAGAAAAAAUGAGGCUCAUUGCAAAGGCUGAUGCAGAGACGGCAGUUGGCAUUAUGAGGAGUAGGAAGGAGAAGGACCCUGAGUUUUUUUUUUUUGAGUAUGUGCGUGACAAGGAAGGGCGAUUGAAGAGUAUGUUCUGGUGCGAUGCACAGUCGCGGAGGGACUAUCAGGACUAUGGAGAUGUGGUCGUGUUUGAUAGCACGUAUAAGAUGAACAGAUAUGGUAUGCCGUUCGUCCCCUUUGUAGGAGUUAACAACCACCGUUGCACCACAGUGUUUGGUUGUGCCAUCAUUGCUGACGAGACGGAAGGGACAUACGUGUGGCUGCUGCAGACAUUUAUGAAGGCAAACUGUCAGGUGAAGCCAAAGUCAAUAAUCACAGACGGUGACGCUGCAAUGAUCCGGGCUAUUCGGACCGUCCUUUCAGAUGUUUUCCAUCGUCUUUGUUCGUGGCAUAUCGAGAAAAAUAUGCAGAGGCACCUGCAUUACAAGUCACUGGAUGAGUUCAGAUCGCUCCUGUACUAUGCCACCUCUCAAGCGAACUUUGAGCAGAGAUGGAAAGCUUUCUAUGAUAAGUGGAAGACGGAUAGAACUGAAGAGUGGCUUGACAGGAUGUACAGGAAGAGGAGACUGUGGGCAGCUUCAUAUCUUUCCAAUGGUUUUUUUCUUGGUAUGCGAAGUAACCAGAGGAGUGAAAGCCUCAACUCCUGCCUUCACCUUCACCUGGACUACGGUAUGACAAUUGUUGAUUUGGUGGUGCAUUAUGAGAAAUGUAUAGUUCGCCUGCGUGAGAACGAGGCGUACAAUGACUGCGAGGCAUUCCAGAAGGAACCACCGUCUGUUACUGAAUAUAAAGUCCUUGAGGAGCAUGCCGCCAAAGUAUUCACACCUGCUAAUUUCUACAUCUUGCAAGAUGAUUUGCAUAAGAUGGGUCAGCUGGAGAUAUUUGAGACGCUCGUGGGAAUUGGGCGUGAGACAUUCAUUGUGACAUGGAAGGAUAACCACAAGUUUAGGUAUAAUGUUGUUUAUGAACCAGGUAACUCAGAAGAAACUAUUACAUGCAGUUGUCUUAGGAUGGUUCGGAAAGGGCUGCCAUGCAAACACAUUCUGUUUGUUCUCCAUCAUCUGAAUUUAACUGAAAUACCAAAGUGUUGUGUCCUUCAUCGGUUGUCCAAACAUGUAAGAGAUGGGUUGCCUGUGCAGAGGAAGAGUGAUAUGUUUGGAUGGGGUUGGUCAGGGCCAUUGGAGAGAGAACGGUAUAGUGCAAUAUCCAUUAAAACCGCACAAGCUGCUCAUGUUGCAGCAAAUGAUCCCUUCUUGUUCGAUGAGUUGAUGAAGUGUCUAGACAACAUAAUAGCACAGAAAAAGAUUUCAGAGGAGGAACUUAUAGAAAGUAGAAGGUAUGCUAUGCUGAAGAAGGAGGCAAGUCAAGUGCAACAAGUUGAGCCUGGUAUUGGUGAUCCUCAGAAAGUUUCGACGAAGGGUGCACCUAAGAAGGGGCGGUCAAAGGGGGGCCCCGGCGUUACAAAGAAUGGUAGGCCAAAAGAUUUUACAGAGAAGAAAAGUGGUCCUUUGUGCAGUUUGUGUAGUCAAGCAGGUCAUAAUAAGGCUACAUGUCAUUUGAACGAGAAGAACUGGGCGUAG